rnacentral:rRNA from 1 species
UACGGAGGGAGCUAGCGUUGUUCGGAAUUACUGGGCGUAAAGCGCACGUAGGCGGCUUUGUAAGUUAGAGGUGAAAGCCCGGGGCUCAACUCCGGAAUUGCCUUUAAGACUGCAUCGCUUGAAUCCAGGAGAGGUGAGUGGAAUUCCGAGUGUAGAGGUGAAAUUCGUAGAUAUUCGGAAGAACACCAGUGGCGAAGGCGGCUCACUGGACUGGUAUUGACGCUGAGGUGCGAAAGCGUGGGGAGCAAACAGGAUUAGAAACCCCCGUAGUCC